ACACAGCAGAUGGCAUCCAGACGAAGGCAGUGGAGGAAAUUUUAGAGGCCAUGUGUGAAAAUGGUGUACAGCAGAUGGAAGAGUCCUUAGAAACAGCCACUACUGUAGCCAUUGUUAUGACUGCAGAUAAAGAUGGAGGCAAUUUGUGCUGUAUCUGCCGUGUCCAUUUUGAUGAUAAGAUGAAAAAUGCUAAAAAGAAGUGGCGUUCAUGGUCCCAGUGCACAGUGUGCCAAUCAUGGUCACACACGGCAUGUAGCUUUAAAAAAAACAUGUGCCUUCA